rnacentral:rRNA from 1 species
UACGUAGGGCGCAAGCGUUAUCCGGAAUUAUUGGGCGUAAAGAGCUCGUAGGCGGUUUGUCGCGUCUGCCGUGAAAGUCCGGGGCUCAACUCCGGAUCUGCGGUGGGUACGGGCAGACUAGAGUGAUGUAGGGGAGAUUGGAAUUCCUGGUGUAGCGGUGAAAUGCGCAGAUAUCAGGAGGAACACCGAUGGCGAAGGCAGGUCUCUGGGCAUUAACUGACGCUGAGGAGCGAAAAGCAUGGGGGAGCGAACAGG